CCCUGUGCUUGGUGUUGGACGGCCGGUCGAGCGAUCGACCCCUCCUAAAGACAAUGACGGCGGCCUGUGGUUCCCCCGGUACACUGAGCUUUUCACCGAGCACGUAUCGGACAAGGCACCCGGGACCCGGUCCUCUCCUUUAGUUAAAGGAAACUUCUAUGGUUGACCUCGGAUCAGGUAGGAAUACGCGCUGAACUUAA
rnacentral:misc_RNA from 1 species